AACGAAUGAUUCCGCGUCGUGCGCUGUCCCUGUAGGUCGCCUGAUAAUUCCCGUUUCUCCCCCACGCCACCACGGCACCACCACCACCUUCCCUCCGAGAUCGCAUCGCGCAUGAGCGAGGCGAGCGGCGAUCGGAGGCCGGCAGCAGGCAGCAGGCAAGGCGGGGGCGGGCGAUGCGACUGUGGUGCCUCGCUCGCUCUCGUCCCACCACCGCCGCUCUGAAUCUGAGCCCCGCAGCGGCGGUGGAUGCGGCUGUACCCGCAUGUCUCCCACUGCUGCUACAGCACAAGACAGUUGCCAUAUGAUAUGACUGACAACAAACAUGCUCAUGCCCCCGGCGGAGCCCCCACGGACAAAUCCACACCACGCUUCACUGCAGCUCUCUCUCUCUCUCUCUCUCUCUCUCUCUCUCUCUCUCUCUCUCUCUCUCUCUCUCUCUCUCUCUCUCUGUGACACGGCUCUAAGCUCAGAUCCGGAGGAUUGAUGCCUUGAUCGCACUGUGCCACAGCCCGCCACCGGAGUCUUUGUUUACCGUGCGAGCUCCCGGCGAUCUUCGUCGUGCGGCACGGCACGCCACGCCACACCUCGGAUUUGCCAUUGGCUGCCACUUGCUUUGCUUGGCACUCGCUGCAAAACGGAGCCGCGACGAUGAGGUCACGGAGGACGUAAACAGGAAUCUUCGUGUGGUUUUUUAUUUUAUCUCCGUCACCGUGCAUGCAUGCACGGAUCGGUAUGCGGCGGUGGCGCGCGCGAACGAAAGACGAGCAGCACAUGCAUGCAAACCGUCGCAGGCCGCAGGCGCUGCCGCAGGCGCAGAGCGAUUCAAGAGCGCGGUUUCUGAUGAAUCCGCAGCGCAGCGGAGGCUUUCUCGGCUUUUCCAACGUGCUCUGACUUUGGAGGACCGGUUCGCCUUUCUAGCGCAGCGCCUCUCUUUUCUUAGGCGAAUUGCAGGACCGUGGACCGCGGUGAACCGGUGGCAUGCAUAGUGGCUGGCAACCCUGCCAAGAUGUAGGGUCGGUAUGACCUAAGCAGAGGAUCAGUGAAGGAGAUCAGCGAUGACCUAAUCACCAGAGGCAUGCAAAUUAUGCCCAAGUUUGAAGCUGAAGCAAGGCUGCAACUGCUCAAUUCUGAUGACCUAGUGAUGUGGUCCAACUACACAUACACAGCAGGAAAUGGAAAUUGUAGCUUCAAAACAAUUUUUUUUUGUCUUAGUUUUUUUUUUUGUCGUGGUCAGAGUACUCAGGCUUUACGAUGUUAAGCUGCAAAAAUCAAUCCCAAGUAAUUUGUAAUCGAA